rnacentral:lncRNA from 1 species
CUCAGAAUGCGACCAGUGUAGACAGUAAACCGGUGUGGUCCUUGAGUUCACACUCACCAGGGCAGAAAGGACUGGCGCAGGAGACAUAGUUUUCCACUGUUGACACGGUUCAGAACAAGGCUUCCGUGUGAUCUCCAAGCGCCGUGCCUAGUUUGCUGUGGCUUCCGCCCGCCCCGCCCUGGCCCUGCAAGCUUCUCCCUGCGCCUUGAUACCGCAGGGCGCCUUCUGCUGCUGCUGGGGCGGUGGGCGGCCAGGCAGCUGGAGGAGCCCACGACGAGGACCAGGAUGAGAAUGAAGACGGGACCGAGACGCCCCCAGAUCAUGGCGUCUCUGCGGGAACCGACACAUAGACGAAGGACCUUGUAUACAGAGCUAUUUUACAGAAAUUGCGAGUGGCAGUAUGGUAUUUCUUGUGGAGCCUCACCCUCUCCUGCGCCCGCACCCCGUCCUCCUCCUUAGUCCCUGGGCAGACAUUCAUAAGCCCGUUACCGCUAACCCCACGGUGACUCUAGCCAAAAAACAAACAAACAAACAAACAAAAAACAGAGGGGAGACCCUUCUCUGGCACCUAUAACAAUCUCUCCUCUCUGAGGGUCGCCCCUUUGCUGCUGGGUGUCUCCCACUUGGGAGAGUCCCUAGCAGGACACUCAUUCAUUUAUUCAACAAGCCUGGCUGUGUAGGUCCCCAUGCUUUGCACUCAAGUAUGGGUGCUAGGUAAGGGGAUAGGAACAGGAUGCCCACCUUUGGGGUAGAUCCCUCAGAUUCUAUUACAGUACGAUUUUGGAGCCCUCUGGUGUUUAAGAAACCAGACAGUCCCUGGACACCCAAGAAUGGGAAAAGCCCCAAGUCCUCCCUGUACUCAGGCUGGGGUCCCUAAGCUAAGGGGGUCCUGACAGAGAACAGAGCCAGCUCUUAGGGACACUGGAGGUUUGCUAGUGUGUGAAUGUGUACCCCAAAAGUUCAUGUCUUGGAAAUUUGUCCCCGGCACAGCAGCACUGAGAGAGGAGCGCUCUGCCAGGGCCUUUGUGGACUGGUUUAAUCCUUUCAAGGAUUAAGUUAGUUGUCUUGAGUAUAGCUUUGUUAUAAAGGCGAGUUCCCUUGGGUAUGCUUGUUCAGUCUGCAUGUGAUACCUCCACGUGUCAUGGAAUAGCACAAAGCCAUCAGACACAGCAAACACCAGGCAUUAGGUGCUAGCCCCAUUCUCUCAAACUUUCCUGCCUCCAGAACCAUGAGCUAAAUAAAACUCUGUUCUCUCUA